rnacentral:rRNA from 1 species
GACGAACGCUGGCGGCGUGCCUAAUACAUGCAAGUCGAGCGAAGUUUUUCUGGUGCUUGCACUAGAAAAACUUAGCGGCGAACGGGUGAGUAACACGUAAAGAACCUGCCUCAUAGACUGGGACAACUAUUGGAAACGAUAGCUAAUACCGGAUAACAGUAUUUCUCGCAUGAGAGAUAUUUAAAAGUUGGUUAUGCUAACACUAUGUGAUGGCUUUGCGGUGCAUUAGCUAGUUGGUGGGGUAAAGGCCCACCAAGGCGACGAUGCAUAGCCGACCUGAGAGGGUGAUCGGCCACACUGGGACUGAGACACGGCCCAGACUCCUACGGGAGGCAGCAGUAGGGAAUCUUCCGCAAUGGGCGAAAGCCUGACGGAGCAACGCCGCGUGAGUGAAGAAGGAUUUCGGUUCGUAAAGCUCUGUUGUUAGGGAAGAAUGGAUAUGUAGUAACUAUACAUGUAAGAGACGGUACCUAACCAGAAAGCCACGGCUAACUACGUG